rnacentral:tRNA from 1 species
CGUGGCGCAUGUCAACCGAGCGCGUCGGUUUCCUAAACCGUGCGUCGCAGGUUCGAAUCCUGCCGGGGCACAGCCA